GGUUAAGUGACUAAGCGUACACGGUGGAUGCCUAGGCAGUCAGAGGCGAUGAAGGGCGUGCUAAUCUGCGAAAAGCGUCGGUAAGGUGAUAUGAACCGUUAUAACCGGCGAUACCCGAAUGGGGAAACCCAGUGUGUUUCGACACACUAUCAUGUCAUGAAUACAUAGUGGCAUGAGGCGAACCGGGGGAACUGAAACAUCUAAGUACCCCGAGGAAAAGAAAUCAACCGAGAUUCCCCCAGUAGCGGCGAGCGAACGGGGAGGAGCCCAGAACCUGAAUCGGCUUGUGUGUUAGUGGAAGCGUCUGGAAAGUCGCGCAGCAAAGGGUGAUAGCCCCGUACACUAAAAUGCACAGGUCGUGAGUUCGAUGAGUAGGGCGGGACACGUGACAUCCUGUCUGAAUAUGGGGGGACCAUCCUCCAAGGCUAAAUACUCCUGACUGACCGAUAGUGAACCAGUACCGUGAGGGAAAGGCGAAAAGAACCCCGGCGAGGGGAGUGAAAUAGAACCUGAAACCGUGUACGUACAAGCAGUGGGAGCACCUUCGUGGUGUGACUGCGUACCUUUUGUAUAAUGGGUCAGCGACUUAUAUUUUGUAGCAAGGUUAACCGUAUAGGGGAGCCGUAGGGAAACCGAGUCUUAACUGGGCGAAUAGUUGCAAGGUAUAGACCCGAAACCCGGUGAUCUAGCCAUGGGCAGGUUGAAGGUUGGGUAACACUAACUGGAGGACCGAACCGACUAAUGUUGAAAAAUUAGCGGAUGACUUGUGGCUGGGGGUGAAAGGCCAAUCAAACCGGGAGAUAGCUGGUUCUCCCCGAAAGCUAUUUAGGUAGCGCCUCGUGAACUCAUCUUCGGGGGUAGAGCACUGUUUCGGCUAGGGGGCCAUCCCGGCUUACCAAACCGAUGCAAACUCCGAAUACCGAAGAAUGUUAUCACGGGAGACACACGGCGGGUGCUAACGUCCGUCGUGAAGAGGGAAACAACCCAGACCGCCAGCUAAGGUCCCAAAGUCAUGGUUAAGUGGGAAACGAUGUGGGAAGGCAUAGACAGCCAGGAUGUUGGCUUAGAAGCAGCCAUCAUUUAAAGAAAGCGUAAUAGCUCACUGGUCGAGUCGGCCUGCGCGGAAGAUGUAACGGGGCUAAACCAUGCACCGAAGCUGCGGCAGCGACGCUUA
rnacentral:rRNA from 1 species